rnacentral:rRNA from 1 species
AUUGAACGCUGGCGGCAUGCCUUACACAUGCAAGUCGAACGGUAACAGGUCUUCGGAUGCUGACGAGUGGCGAACGGGUGAGUAAUACAUCGGAACGUGCCUAGUAGUGGGGGAUAACUACUCGAAAGAGUGGCUAAUACCGCAUGAGAUCUACGGAUGAAAGCAGGGGAUCGCAAGACCUUGUGCUAGUAGAUGGGCGGUUGGCAGAUUAGGUAGUGGGUGGGAUAAAAGCUUACCAAGCCGACGAUCUGUAGCUGGUCUGAGAGGACGAUCAGCCACACUGGGACUGAGACACGGCCCAGACUCCUACGGGAGGCAGCAGUGGGGAAUUUUGGACAAUGGGCGAAAGCCUGAUCCAGCAAUGUCGCGUGCAGGAUGAAGGCCUUCGGGUUGUAAACUGCUUUUGUACGGAACGAAAAGCCCCGGGUUAAUACCCUGGGUUCAUGACGGUACCGUAAGAAUAAGCACCGGCUAACUACGUGCCAGCCGCCGCCGUAA